rnacentral:rRNA from 1 species
GACGAACGCUGGCGGCGUACUUAACACAUGCAAGUCGAACGGAAAGGCCCUGCUUUUGUGGGGUGCUCGAGUGGCGAACGGGUGAGUAACACGUGAGUAACCUGCCCUUGACUUUGGGAUAACUUCAGGAAACUGGGGCUAAUACCGGAUAGGAGCUCCUGCUGCAUGGUGGGGGUUGGAAAGUUUCGGCGGUUGGGGAUGGACUCGCGGCUUAUCAGCUUGUUGGUGGGGUAGUGGCUUACCAAGGCUUUGACGGGUAGCCGGCCUGAGAGGGUGACCGGCCACAUUGGGACUGAGAUACGGCCCAGACUCCUACGGGAGGCAGCAGUGGGGAAUAUUGCACAAUGGGCGGAAGCCUGAUGCAGCAACGCCGCGUGCGGGAUGACGGCCUUCGGGUUGUAAACCGCUUUAGCCUGUGACGAGGCGUGAGUGACGGUAAUGGGUAAAGAAGCACCGGCUAACUACGUG